rnacentral:rRNA from 1 species
UACGGAGGAUGCAAGCGUUAUCCGGAAUGAUUGGGCGUAAAGCGUGCGCAGGUGGCAAGGUAAGUCUGCUGUCAAAGCGUCUGGCUCAACCAGAUAAAGGCAGUGGAAACUACAUAGCUAGAGUAAGGUAGGGGUAGAGGGAAUUCCUGGUGUAGCGGUGAAAUGCGUAGAGAUCAGGAAGAACACCGGUGGCGAAAGCGCUCUGCUGGACCUUAACUGACACUGAGGGACGAAAGCUAGGGGAGCGAAUGGG